GACGAACGCUGGCGGCGUGCUUAACACAUGCAAGUCGAACGGGCCUUGUCCCCUUUUUUUUUGGGGGUGGGGUUAGUGGCGAACGGGUGAGUAACACGUGAGUAACCUGCCCCUCACUUCUGGAUAACCGCUUGAAAGGGUGGCUAAUACGGGGUGUUCUGGCCUGCUCGCAUGGGUGGGUUUGGAAAGAUUCGACCGGUUUGGUUGUUUUGGUGGGGGAUGGGCUCGCGGCCUAUCAGCUUGUUGGUGGGGUGAUGGCCUGCCAAGGCUUUGACGGGUAGCCGGCCUGAGAGGGUGGGCGGUCACACUGGGACUGAGACACGGCCCAGACUCCUACGGGAGGCAGCAGUGGGGAAUAUUGCACAAUGGGCGCAAGCCUGAUGCAGCGACGCCGCGUGAGGGAUGGAGGCCUUCGGGUUGUGAACCUCUUUCGCCAGUGAAGAAGGUCCUGCUCUUUGUGGUGGGGUUGACGGUAGCUGGGUUAAUGAAGCGCCGGCUAACUACGU
rnacentral:rRNA from 1 species